UCUGGAUUGGCCUCCAAGGACAAAGAUGAUGAAAUGUCAGUACCGUUGAUGAAAUCUGUCAAGAGUCUGGAGUGAGGGCCUCAUGCUGGGAAGAGUUUCUGAAGAGCCACAGUAGAAUCAGGAGGCACCUCCCUUGAGGAGGUUAAUGAGCAUUAAAUUUUUGAUGAACAUCAGGGUCUUCAAUGAAGAGGAUGAUGAUAAUUGCUAUCAUUGAUUGAGCACUUACCAUGAGCUAGACCCUGAUCUAAGAUCUUUGUGGCUGUUAAAUCUUCACAAUAGCUCCAUGAGGUAGAUCCUACGAUUAUCCACAUCGUACAGAUAAGUGAAUCAAGGUGCCGGGGAGGUGUCAUGGUGCCCCAGACCUCUGUGUCAAAAGAGAACCCCCAGAGCAAGAAACAGGAAACAUCGAGUGCAG